UGGCGCCCAACUUGGGGCACAAAGAAUGGGAAUUGAGCUGAACGUCGCUGGAAGAGCUGGCUGUUUCAUUUAGGUCGCCGCCUUGUCUCAUAACAGCCACCACUGACAAUUUGUCUGUGAUACGGGCCUGAAGAAGGUGAGUAAAGACCUGCAUAGUGGCCACCGCGUGCUGACCCGUCUGCGAUAUGGGCUAUGAGGGUAAGUGGAGCGACGAAACUAUGGGGCAAACACUAAGUAAGCAGGAACUCUUUGUGAAGGGGUUAAAAGCAUCACUCAAGACACGAGGAGCCAGGGUUAAAACGAAAGACCUUAUAGCAUUUUUUAUACUCCUAGAGGACGUGUGUCCUU
rfam:Oryctolagus cuniculus unplaced genomic scaffold chrTn0075, whole genome shotgun sequence.